rnacentral:sRNA from 1 species
UUGAUGCCGUAACAUCAAGCGAACUUAACCAGCUAAUUUAGUUCGUCUUAAUGUGGCCUAU